rnacentral:rRNA from 1 species
CCUACGGGUGGCAGCAGUAGGGGAUUUUCGGCAAUGGGGGGAACCCUGACCGAGCAACGCCGCGUGAACGAAGAAGUUAUUCGUAAUGUAAAGUUCUUUUAACAGUGAAGAUAGAGAAAUUUGACGGUACCUGAAGAAUAAGCUACGCCUAACUACGUGCCAGCAGCCGCGGUAAUACGUAGGGAGCGAGCGUUAUCCGGAUUUAUUGGGCGUGAAGGGUGCGUAGAGGGCAUAGUAGGUCGUUUGUAAAAAUGCUGGGAUAAACCCAGUAGGGCAAAAGAUACUGCAAAGCUAGAGUAUGAGAGAGGCAAGUGCAACUACAUGUGUAGCGGUAAAAUGCGUAAAUAUAUGUAAGAACACCAGUGGCGAAGGCGGCUUGCUGGGUGGAUACUGACAGUGAGGCACGAAAGCGUGGGGAGCAAACAGGAUUAGAUACCCCGGUAGUC